CCCGGCUAAUUUUUUUGUAUUUUUAGUAGAGAUGGGGGUUUCACCACGUUGGCCAGGCUGGUCUCGAACUCCUGACCUCCGGUAAUCUGCCUGCCUCGGCCUCCCAAAGGCCGAGGAUUACAGGCUGGGGUUACAGGCACGUGCCACCACGCCCAGGUAUGGCCAUUGUCAAAUCCUGUUUCUUUCUCACUCACCCAGACUGCAGACUAACACAGGUCUUGUCAGACAAUCCCUUACCAGGCCGCUCCAACGCGAGGAAAGUUUAGAAAACAUGGCCCUUUUAGCUGUAAUUAUAUGGCUGGAAGAAGAAACAAAGUUGUGAGCUGCAAUGGAGCUGAAUGUUUUUGUCCCCCCACCAAUCCCCCUCAAAAAACUCAUAGGUUGAAAUCCUAACCCCCAGUGUAAUAGAAAAUGGGGCUUUUGGGAGGUAAUUAGGUCAUGAGGGUAGAGCCCUCAUGGAGGGAUUAAUGACCUUAUAAAAGAGACUCCAGAAAGCUAGCUUGUCCUAUUUCUGCCAUGUGAGGACACAACAAGACAGUAGUCAUGUGCAGCCCAGAAGAGGGUCCGCACCAGAACCCAACCAUGCUGGGACCCUGAUCUCAAACUGGCAACCUGCAGAACUCUAAGAAAUGCCUCCUGUUUAUAAGCCACCAGUUUAUGGGACUUUGUUAUAAGCAGCCCAAGCUAAGGCAUAUGGGCAAUGAAAAUAUCAGAAUUGUUUGAAACUUUAAUCUAUUGUAAUAACUCCUUUCACAUUGUGUAUAAUACGUCGGUUUAACAAUAUGUAAUAAAAUUUUAAAACAAG
rnacentral:lncRNA from 1 species